rnacentral:lncRNA from 1 species
CUCUGCCUCCCAAAGUGUUGGGAUUACAUGCGUGAGCCACUGCACCCAGCCUUGUUUUUGUUUUUAAUUCUGCUUAUGUGAUGUAUCACAUUUAUUGACUUGUAUAUGUUGAACUAUCCCUUCAUCCCUGGGAUGAAAUUCAAUUAGAACAGGAAAGGAUUGUUUAGCUGACAUGGAAGAUUCAAUAUCUGAACAAGGAGUUCUAAAUAAUUCUCUGCACCUUAGUCUGCCAAUACUCAUUCUAAAACUACACAAAGGAGAUUCAAAAUAAAAAGAGGAUGAUAAACGGCAAAACCAUCUGAGACUUUAGGAAUUAUUGACAAAAGGAGUAAGAAUGUGGAGAGAAUUACAUAGCUGCAAAGAAUGUUUGUCAUAGCUGCAAUGGGAGUAAGAAGACAUUGAAGGACAUUGAAUAGAAAGUAGAAACACUUUACAUCAAAAGGAAAGAAAUUCAUACUAUACUUUUAACAAUUUUAUCAACCCGCUUAUUGAUUGUAUUAGUUUGCUAGGACUGCCAUGAUAAAAUACAAUAGUCUAGGUGGCUUAAAUAACAGAAAUAAAUUUUCUUACAGUUGUGGAGGCUAUACAUCCAAAAUCAAGGUGUCAUCAAUGUUGGUUUUUGGUGAGACCUUUCUUCUUGGCUUAUGUCC